GAUGAACGCUAGCGGCAGGCCUAACACAUGCAAGUCGAGGGGUAGAAGGAGCUUGCUCCUUUGAGACCGGCGCACGGGUGCGUAACGCGUAUGCAAUCUACCUUGUACAGGGGAAUAGCCCAGAGAAAUUUGGAUUAAUGCCCCAUAGUAUAUAACCUUCGCAUGUUGGUUAUAUUAAAGUUCCAACGGUACAAGAUGAGCAUGCGUCCCAUUAGUUAGUUGGUAAGGUAACGGCUUACCAAGACGAUGAUGGGUAGGGGUCCUGAGAGGGAGAUCCCCCACACUGGUACUGAGACACGGACCAGACUCCUACGGGAGGCAGCAGUGAGGAAUAUUGGUCAAUGGUCGCAAGACUGAACCAGCCAUGCCGCGUGCAGGAAGACGGUCCUAUGGAUUGUAAACUGCUUUUAUACAGGAAGAAACCCUCCCACGUGUGGGAGCUUGACGGUACUAUAGGAAUAAGGAUCGGCUAACUCCGUG
rnacentral:rRNA from 1 species